rnacentral:pre_miRNA from 1 species
GUGAAAUGAAAUCAGCGUUUGGACAUGCGAUUUUAUGUUGAUUCUAUAUCAUGA